rnacentral:rRNA from 1 species
AGAGUGAACGCUGGCGGUAGGCCUAACACAUGCAAGUCGAACGGCAGCACAGUAGGAGCUUGCUCUUACGGGUGGCGAGUGGCGGACGGGUGAGGAAUACAUCGGAAUCUACCUUUUGGUGGGGGAUAACGUAGGGAAACUUACGCUAAUACCGCAUACGCCCUUCGGGGGAAAGCCGGGGACCAGCAAUGGCCUGGCGCUGAUAGAUGAGCCGAUGUCGGAUUAGCUAGUUGGUGAGGUAAUGGCUCACCAAGGCGACGAUCCGUAGCUGGACUGAGAGGAUGAUCAGCCACACUGGAACUGAGACACGGUCCAGACUCCUACGGGAGCAGCAGUGGGGAAUA